GAUAGAGAAGAUGAAGAUUCUUCCUAAUAGGAAAGAGGAGUAAGCUUGUUGUCUCUGGGUCUUCAUAAUUAUCCAGGUUAGAGAAGAUGAAGACACUUCCUAAGAGAAGAAACGUAAAAAGGGAUAAGCUUGUUCUCACUGCAUCUUCAGAAUCAUCUCGUAAACAUAGAGCAGCUGAUGAAGAUACUGGCUUAGAGAAACGUAAAUUUCAUAUGACAGCACGAAGGGCAUUGUGGCGAUCCUCCGGCUUGAAGCCAUGCUUCAUGCAAUCUCCAGCCCACAGUGGCGCUCCUCAUUACGACUACAUGGAAUUGUUACCAGUCUGGGACGAGUGA
rnacentral:lncRNA from 1 species